CUCAUCCUUCUUCUUCGCUCACACUUGACACUGAGCAACUGGAGCCAACAUAUCUCAACCGAUGGCGAAGAUUGGGUUAGUUACUCCUCAUUAUCGACCAGAACAACAAGAAUCUCAGGUUAGAAGGCCAAGUGCACUCAGUCAAGCACAUCUAGCAUGCCAAUGCCAAGGCAAAAGCCUACUCCAUCAAGCAAGGCCGUGCCAAUUCACCCAAAUUCCAAUCAGUCAAGUAGGGAUAGUAGGCUAGUGCCCACUCACCAUAUUCCAAUCAACCAAGGGUAGCAGCCCAAGAAUUUUUCUUUUCUUUUGUUUUGUUUGUGUAUCAAGGGUAAUAGAGAAAGACAAUUGCUUUUGUGGGAUUUUGUUUUGUGGACCGUUGCUGCUGCUAUUUUAUAUGAUCAAUUGAAUGUUAGUUUAUAUUCUUA